rnacentral:rRNA from 1 species
UGCGAGCUUAAGGUCUUAAGGACUGGAGGCGUAGCGAGAGCGAGUCUGAACAGGGCGUUCAGUAGCAUGCAAUGGGCCCGAAACCGGGUGACCUACCCAUGAUCAGGCUGAAGUGAAAGUAAAAUUUCAUGGAGGGCCGAACCGACCUCCGUUGAAAAGGCGGCGGAUGAAUUGUGGGUAGCGGAGAAAUUCCAAUCGAACUCGGAGAUAGCUGGUUCUCCCCGAAAUAGCUUUAGGGCUAGCCUCAUAUUAGAUACCCGGAGGUAAAGCACUGAAUGGCCUAGCGCCCGAGAGGGUAGCGAAGCCUAUCAAACUAAGAAUGCCGGAGUAUUGAUGUAUGGGAGUCAGACAGUGUGAGAUAAAUCUCAUUGUCAAAAGGGAAACAGCCCAGAUCUACAGCUAAGGUCCCAAAUUGUAUCUAAGUGGAAAACGAUGUGGAAAUACGCAGACAACCAGGAUGUUGGCUCAGAAGCAGCCACUCAUUUAAAGAGUGCGUAAUAGCUCACUGGUCGAGAGACCCUGCGCCGAAGAUUCCCGGGGCUAAAGUACGAAACCGAAGCUGUGGCUGUAUACGUAAAGUAUACGGGGUAGGGGAGCGUUCCCAUAGGGUAGAAGUCGAACUGGAAGGUUCGGUGGACUUGUGGGAAGUGAGAAUGUUGGUAUGAGUAGCGAAAAGAAAGGUGAGAAUCCUUUCCACCGAAAGCAUAAGGAUUCCUGAGCAACGAUCGUCGUCUCAGGGUAAGUCGGGACCUAAUCCGAGGCAGAGAGCGUAGGAGAUGGACAACUGGUUGAUAUUCCAGUACCGGUAGUAAUUGUUUGAGCAAUGGAGUGACACAGAAGGGCAGGCAAGCAUGCGAAUGGAAGAGCAUGUGUAAGCGUGUAGGGUGGUGCAUAGGCAAAUCCGUGCACUGAAAGCCUGAGGCGUGAUGCGGAGUGAGCAGAGAUGCGAGCGAAGUUGUUGACCCCACACUGUCGAGAAAAGCUUCUAGUGAGAGAGCUACCGCCCGUACCGUAAACCGACACAGGUAUGCGGGGAGAGAAUCCUAAGGUGCGCGGGAGAACCCUCGUUAAGGAACUCGGCAAAAUGUACCCGUAACUUCGGGAUAAGGGUAGCCACUGUUGUGAAGUCCCAUGCGGAUGGAGCAUAGAGUGGUCGCAGAGAAGAGGCCCAAGCGACUGUUUACCAUAAACACAGGUGCCUGCUAAAGCGAAAGCUGACGUAUAGGUGCUGACACCUGCCCAGUGCCGGAAGGUUAAGGAAGGAUGUUCGGAUUAGUCCAAAGCAUUCGACUGAAGCCCCGGUGAACGGCGGCCGUAACUAUAACGGUCCUAAGGUAGCGAAAUUCCUUGUCGGGUAAGUUCCGACCCGCACGAAAGGUGUAACGAUUUGGGCACUGUCUCAACGAGGGACCCGGUGAAAUUGAAAUACCUGUGAAGAUGCAGGUUACCCGCGACUGGACAGAAAGACCCCAUGGAGCUUUACUGUAACCUGACAUUGGGUUUUGAUACAUUACGUACAGGAUAGGUGGGAGGCAUGGAAAGCUGGACGCUAGUCUGGCUGGAGCCGCCGUUGGGAUACCACCCUUGAUGUAUUGAAAUUCUAACCGCGAGAGUAACGAAAUCCGGGACAGUGUCAGGCGGGCAGUUUGACUGGGGCGGUCGCCUCCGAAAGAGUAACGGAGGCGCCCAAAGGUUCCCUCAGCGCGGCCGGAAAUCGCGCGAAGAGUGUAAAGGCAGAAGGGAGCUUGACUGCGAGUCAAACACGACGAGCAGGUACGAAAGUAGGGCUUAGUGAUCCGGUGGUACCGAGUGGAAGGGCCAUCGCUCAACGGAUAAAAGCUACCCUGGGGAUAACAGGCUAAUCUCUCCCAAGAGUCCAUAUCGACGGGGAGGUUUGGCACCUCGAUGUCGGCUCAUCACAUCCUGGGGCUGAAGUCGGUCCCAAGGGUUGGGCUGUUCGCCCAUUAAAGUGGUACGCGAGCUGGGUUCAGAACGUCGUGAGACAGUUCGGUCCCUAUCCAUCGCGGGCGCAAGAGAUUUGAAGGGGGCUGCUCCUAGUACGAGAGGACCGGAGUGGACGAACCGCUGGUGUACCAAUUAUCCCGCCAGGGGUACAGUUGGGUAGCUACGUUCGGAAAGGAUAAACGCUGAAAGCAUCUAAGCGUGAAACCAGCCUUAAGAUGAGAUCUCUCAUAGAGCAAUCUAGUAAGACACCUUAAAGAAGAUGAGGUUGAUAGGUCGGGAGUGUAAGUACAGCAAUGUAUUGAGCGGACCGAUACUAAUAUGUCGAGGGCUUGACUUA